UUACCAAUUGAGUGCGUCAGGACCACUUUUGGGGGCCACUCGUUAUUGAUUAUACCCCUCAUGUUCUCCUCUGCACCCCAUUGUAAUCUGAAGAGUGACUCAACAAUACCCCUCUCUCCAUCAAGCUAUACAAACUCGUCCCGUAUUGUUCCUCUUUUCAAAGAGUGUCUGGGUACACUUCAUGCCAACUACCACCCCAAAAAAGAGACUGAAUAGAUUUUAAGCUUUUUAUUCGUGUGAAGGUGAAGAAAAGUGAAUUAUAGAUUCAUUGGCGAGGAACCAUGGUCUAGUGUGGUUUGAGUGGAACUAGGGUUCACCUUGUGAGAAUCAAGCCAUUUUACAUCUAUGGAAAUUACUGGAGUUCACUUUCAAGAAAUCCUUUAAUGAAGGUAAAUUUAAAGUGGAGUACUUAUUAAGAAUCUGAUGUUACCUGGCCAGCUAGGUGAGGAUUUAACGAGGAGUUGCCAACUUUCAUUGAAAAAGCUGUUGGAGCGUCCUCCCUGGAAGGUUAAUCACGACACUUGCACAUGUUUGAUUGUGGAGGAAUCCGCAUGACAACCAUUGGAGAACGACCAUUAUAGAGCAUGGUGAGGAUUCGUUUAGGAUUCGGCGCAAGGUCCAAUUUGGAUUGUUAUUGGUGUGACCUUUUUCCGAUUGGAAUCUGCUUUCAUUUGUGUUGGUUUCUGGAGGGAAACAUUGCCAUGUGCUUGAUUAGAGUUUUGGGGGGCAACACGAUCUAGGUACAUGUAGCUGGCUAGAUUGGUUGAGUCACUCCGGCAGUUGAGAAGCUUUCCCUUGGUGCACAUUCAUCUCUGGGCGAUAUAAACCAUCAAACUUUGGGGUCAGAC